AUCAAGUCUUAUUUUUUAUUCAGCAUAGUGGACUCUAUAAAUAGAAGAAAUACAUGAUAAAAACGACUAUAAAAGUAGCUCAACAUGCAGAGAAUCUGGGGAAAUGAAAUUCAAACUCUAAAGCGCAUGUAAGAGAGAGAAAUAGGCAGAAUUAAAUGCGGUAUUUGUCAUGUACGAAAUUUGAUCAUCUUUGAUUCUUUUUGGGCCGAAUCCACUUUGCUGGGCUUUGCUAAUGGACCAAGAUUAUAGAACAAUUUGGUUUGUAGCUUAACUCAUCUUGAUUUGGUCGGAAUCCUUCAUUUAAUGCCCGCAGGUCCGAAACGCGUAAGCUGGAGAUCACCUAUUUUGUAAAUUGAAUAGCUCCUUCGUUUGAUCUACGUUUGAUAUGAUUCUUCUUCCAGGAGCUUUGUAAUUGAGCUGAGCAUAUUCGGCAACUAGUUUCAUGCGUUUACUCCUGGUGGUUGAGAAAAUACGCUUCAAACACUGAACACAUGUCCUGAUGCUUCCCAUGAUCAUAUCAAUUAUGUGAUCUUCCCAAGGAAUCAACACUCUAAGGUGGUUUAGUGGAUAAUCCUGGACUCCAACACUUUCACGGCAAAGAUUCUAAGCUGUGAGAAGUAAUUCCCAAAAAUCCUUAGGCCCAAACUCGCGGUGAAAAGGAACAAGGGGUUGGCUUCACUGAAUGAGAGAACUCACGGAUCUAGGAUGACAAGGCGUGAGAACAAGUUCCCGAAAAUCUCUGUGCCCCUAAAACUACUUGAAACAAACUCGCACAAACAAUGGAAUGAAUGCUGCGUCAAGUUCUAUGGAGUGAACUUGAUAAACCGGGUUGAUCAAUGGAUAAUCUCCAAAAGAUCGAAAAAUGAGAAUCACUCUCAAAAGGUUCCAAAAAUAAUGAAUCAAGUCUUAUUUUUUAUUCAGCAUAGUGUGCUCUAUAAAUAGAGGAAAUACAUGAUAAAAACGUUCAUAAAAGUAGCUCAACAUGCAGAAAAUAUGGAGAAAUGAAAUUCAAACUCUAAAGUGCAUGUAAGAGAGAGAAAUAGGCAGAAUUAAAUGCGGUAUUUGUCAUGGACGAAAUUUGAUCAUCUUUGAUUCUUUUUGGGCCGAAUCUACUUUUUUGGGCUUUGCUAAUGGACCAAGAUUAUAGAACAAUUUGGUUUGUAGCUUAACUCAUCUUGAUUUGGUCGGAAUCCUUCAUUUAAUGCCCGCAAGUCCGAAACGCGUAAGCUGGAGAUCACCUAUUUUGUAAAUUGAAUAACUCCUUUGUUUGAACUCCGUUUGAUAUGAUUCUUCUUCCAGGAGCUUUGUAAUUGAGCUGAACAUAUUCUCAGAUAGUUUCAUGCGUUUAUUCCUGGUGGUUGAGAAAAUACGCUUCAAACACUGAACACAUGUCCUGAUGCUUCCUAUGAUCAUAUCAUCCUCUCCCUCUUAAAAAAAAAAUUUGUCCUCAAAUCCAAAUCACACAAUGAUCCAUACUUUUUUUCUCUCUCUUUUUUUCUAUUUUCGUUAUUUUAACUCUUUUUUUCCUUUUUUUAUGACGAAAAUAGAUAAAUAAAACACAAAUAAAAUAAAAUGGAAGAAAAGAAGAUGAAAGGAUAGAAGAUGAAAGAAAGAUGAUGAAAAGAUGAGAAAAUGAAAAGAAGAAGAUAAAAAGAUGAAAAAAAGAUAGAAAGAUAUAAACCAGGCUUAGAGUGUUGCUCUGAUACCAAAUGAUGCGAUCCUCCCAAGGAAUCGGCACUCUAAAGUGGUUUAGUGGAUAAUCCUUGACUCCAAACACUUUCACGGAGAAGAUGUUAAGACGUGAGAAGUGAUUCCCGAGAAUCCGUAGGCCCAAACUCGCGCUGAAAAGGAAUAAAACAAGGGGGUGGAACAAAGAAAGAGUAAAACGCCGGUAAAAGGAUGUUAAGGUGUGAGAAAUGAAUUCCUGAAAAUCUCUAAGCCCCAAUUACUACUAACGAAAUUCCCAAACUCUGCAAACGAAGGCUGCAUCAAGUUCUAUGGACUGAACUUGAUAAACCGGGUUGAUCAAUGGAUAACCUCCAUAAAAUAAAAUAAAAAAAUUAGAAUCUCUCUCAAAAGGUUCCAAAAAUAAUG
rnacentral:lncRNA from 1 species